AUGCAGGACGAGCUCGCCAUGGUCAGAGACGCCCUGCACAAGCUUGACAACAUCAGCAUGCCGCAGACAACGGAGAUCACCGCCGGCCAGCAGCAGCAUGUCUCCGCCGAUUCUGACAUGGCCAAGACGACGAAGGCGUCGGUCAUGAAGACGGCGGCGACCGCUAUGAGAAAGGAUGCGUCCGGUUCCGCCGCCGGGGACCGUGCUGGCCUCUGCUCCGAGGAGAAGAUGGAAGCCGCGAAACGCAGGUUCCGCCAAGGUUACCAGGAAGCAGAGGACGCCAAACGGCUGCGCACGACACGAUUGGUGCAGGCGCCCAAGAUGAUGCAGCCAAUCAGGAGGUGCACCAGCUCCAUGGCCAAGAAGAAAACCUUCGUGGUCAGGACGCAGCUUCACAUGGCUUAG
rnacentral:rRNA from 1 species